CCCAAAGUGGUCAGCUGCGGGACCCUGGGGCACCAAGCUGGUGCUGGCCUGUUUGUGGGCAGUUAUGGAGGCUGAAAGUCCCAGAUCAAGGUCCACUAGAGUUGGUUCCUGGUGAGAGCUUUCUUCCUACCUUGCAGAUGGUCAUCCCACUAUGUCCACAUAAGAUCUUUUCUCAGUGUGUUCUUGAGUUCUGGAGACUAGCACUUUGAAAUCAGGACUGAUUCCUUCUGGAAGCUCUGAAGGAAAAUCUGUUCAAUACCUCUUCCUAGCUACUGAUGGCUCUCAACAAUCCUUGGCAUUUCUUGGCUCGUAAAUGCAUCCCUCCAAUCUCUGCCUCCAUCUUUACAUCAUCUUCUCUGUAUCCUCUCCUCUUAUGACACUAGUCAUUGGAUUUAAGGUUCACAGAAAUUCAGUAUGAUUUCGUCUCAUUUCUUAUGUAAUUACAUCUCCAAAGACAGAUUGUGAAGUUCUGCACACUAUAAGGAAUCUGAUGGAAAUUACUACUGGAAGAUAGAUUUAC
ensembl:lncRNA